CUCCGCCCCAGCCCAAAGGCCGCCGGCUUCCUGGGCUCCAAGGACACUUCAGGGUGGCUCAUGGACGGACCUGCUGGCUGUGUGGAUGGCCUAGGGCGACGAGCUAACUGGGCACAGCUCGGAGUGACGGCUAAGUAAAUUUAGAUAUUAUUGCCUUUGCCUGAAAUCCUCUUCUGCUACCUGUUCAGCUCCUCUAUGCGAAUGGAACACUGGGCGCGGGGAGGGCGUUCCCACAGUGUCCACGUUUAGCGGGUUGUCCAACAUUAAAUACCUGACUUAAGUGUUUACUACGGCCAAGGCCCCGUGCCUGAGGCUUACAAGUGUCGUCUUUUCUAAUUUUCACAACCGAUGGAUAAGAACUGUUAUUGCCCUCACUUUAGUAAUGAGAAAAACCGAGCCUCUUGCAUCAGCCAGUGGCAGACCAGAGCUUUGGAGGGUCUGACUCUCAGGCACCCACCACGUCCUUACCACUACAAUGUACUGUCCUCCCCAGCGCCUCUGCAGAAUAGAUCACCAAAUUACUUUCAGAGUCCUGUGCGCAGAGGCCCAAUGGAUUUUAGGCCCUUGGAAGAAUAGCAGAUGAACAUGCAUAUAGUGUGUUUUGUUUUGUUUUUAAAUACUUCUAACUCGAAAAACAGCUUCGUCUUUUUUUUUUAAUUAUUAUUGUUUAAGACCUUUUCAAUUGGGUUCUGUGUUAUAACUGAAUGUGUCUUUAAUUGAGAUAAAAUAUACACGACACAAAUUUAUUGUUUGGCCAUUCUAAAGUGUGCAAUUCAGUGGUUUUUAAUAUAUUCACAAUGUUGUGAAUGCCUGUAAUCCAACUACUCAGGAGUUUGAAUAGGGAGGAUCAGAAGUUUGAGGCCAGCCUUAUUUUGUCUCAAAAAAAUAAAUAAAUAAGGGAUGGGAAUCUAGCUCAGUGCUAGUGUUCUUGCCUGGCAUGCAGAAGGCCCUGGGUUGGAUCCCCAGCACAAAAAGAAAAGAAAUAAAUACACAAAAAUAAAUUUAACAAAUAAACUGGGUGCCAGGGCGCAUGCGUGUAAUUUCAGAGGUUCAGGUGGCUGAGGCAGGAGGAUCAGGAGUUAAAAGCCAGCUUCAGCAACUUAGCAAGGCCCUAAGCAAUUCAGUGAGACCCUGUCUUUAAAUAAAUUCAAAAAAGGGCUGAGGAUGUGACUUAGUGGUUAAGUACCUCUGGGUUCCAUCCCUGGUACCUAAAAAUAAAAAUAAAUAAAUAAAUUUAACAAAUAAAAAGGGCUGGUAAUGUAGCUCAGCAGUAAAGCUACAUUACCCCUGGGUCCAGCACUGGAAAAAACAAACAAAUAUAAAUAUAUAUGUGUGUGUGUGUGUGUGUGUGUGUGUAUUUUCACAAUGUCUUGCAAGCAUAACGACAUUUUCAUUACCCAAAAAAAGAAACCGAGUACCUAUUAGCUAUCACUCCUCCUCUUCCCCUCUCAUGCUCCUUGCCCAUGCUAAGCACACACUCCACUGAGCUAUAUCCCCAGGGCACCAAACUACUUGCUGUUUCUAUGGAUUUGCCUGUUCUGGACAUUUAACAUUAGCAGAAAAUAAACAAAUAAAUAUAUAAAAAUAAAGAAAUCAUACAAUAUAUGGCCUUUUAUGUCUGGCUUCCUUCACGUGUCAUAAUGCUCUCAAGGUUCAUUCAUGCAGAAUAUAUCAGCAUUUCAUUUUUUUGUAUACAUUACAAUUGUAUGGAUGUACUGCAUGUAUCCAUUCAUCAGUUGAUGUAUAUUUUAGUUGUUGCCAUUUUUUUUUUUUGGUUAUUGUGAAUACUGCAAAAGCUAUUCCUAUGCAAGAAUUUGUUUGAGCACCUGUUUUCAAUUCUCUUGGGUAUAUACCUUGAAAUGGAAUUACUGGGUUGUAUGGUAACUAUAUAUUUUGACUUUUUUAGGGUAAAUGGCUGUACCAUUUUACAUUUGGAUCAGCAAUGUAUGUGUGUCCCCAUUUUUAUCAAAAUACUGAGUGCACAUAAUUUGUUUGUUUGUUUGUUUUGGUACCUGGGAUUAAACCCAGGGGCACUUAACCACUGAGCCACACUCCCAGACCUUUUUGUAUUUUAUUUAGAGACAGGGUCUUUCUGAGUUGCUUAGGGCCUCACUAAGUUGCCAAGUCUGGCCUUGAAUUUGCAACCCUCUUGCCUCAGCC
rnacentral:lncRNA from 1 species